rnacentral:rRNA from 1 species
UACGUAGGGGGCAAGCGUUGUCCGGAUUCAUUGGGCGUAAAGAGCGUGUAGGCGGCCAGGUAGGUCGGUUGUGAAAACUGGAGGCUCAACCUUCAGAGGUCGACCGAAACCAUCUGGCUAGAGUCCGGGAGAGGAGAGUGGAAUUCCUGGUGUAGCGGUGAAAUGCGCAGAUAUCAGGAGGAACACCGGUGGCGAAGGCGGCUUUCUGGACAAAUACCGACGCUGAGGCACGAAAGCUAGGGGAGCAAACAGG